AUUGAACGCUGGCGGCGUGCUUUACACAUGCAAGUCGAACGGUAACAGGCCUUCGGGCGCUGACGAGUGGCGAACGGGUGAGUAAUGCAUCGGAACGUGCCCAGUCGUGGGGGAUAACGCAGCGAAAGCUGUGCUAAUACCGCAUACGAUCUGUGGAUGAAAGCGGGGGACCUUCGGGCCUCGCGCGAUUGGAGCGGCCGAUGUCAGAUUAGGUAGUUGGUGGGGUAAAGGCUCACCAAGCCAACGGUCUGUAGCUGGUCUGAGAGGACGACCAGCCACACUGGGACUGAGACACGUCCCAGACUCCUACGGGAGGCAGCAGUGGGGAAUUUUGGACAAUGGGCGCAAGCCUGAUCCAGCAAUGCAGCGUGCAGGAAGAAGGCCUUCGGGUUGUAAACUGCUUUUGUACGGAACGAAACGGUCCUGGUUAAUACCUGGGGCUAAUGACGGUACCGUAAGAAUAAGCACCGGCUAACUACGUGCCAGCAGCCGCCGUAACAC
rnacentral:rRNA from 1 species